rnacentral:rRNA from 1 species
AGCGAACGCUGGCGGCAGGCUUAACACAUGCAAGUCGAGCGCCCCGCAAGGGGAGCGGCAGACGGGUGAGUAACGCGUGGGAAUCUACCCAUCUCUACGGAAUAACGCAUGGAAACGUGUGCUAAUACCGUAUACGUCCUUCGGGAGAAAGAUUUAUCGGAGAUGGAUGAGCCCGCGUUGGAUUAGCUAGUUGGUGGGGUAAAGGCCUACCAAGGCGACGAUCCAUAGCUGGUCUGAGAGGAUGAUCAGCCACACUGGGACUGAGACACGGCCCAUACUCCUACGGGAGGCAGCAGUGGGGAAUAUUGGACAAUGGGCGCAAGCCUGAUCCAGCCAUGCCGCGUGAGUGAUGAAGGCCCCAGGGUUGUAAAGCUCUUUCACCGGUGAAGAUAAUGACGGUAACCGGAGAAGAAGCCCCGGCUAACUUCGUGCCAGCAGCCGCCGUAAAAC